rnacentral:tRNA from 1 species
GAGGGCGGAUCGGGCCUGGUGGCUCGACUAGUCUUCAAAACUAGCUGGCCUGGCUAAGACCCGGGCUGGUGGGUUCGAUUCCCACACGUCCUCGCCA